rnacentral:misc_RNA from 1 species
GAUGAAGAACGUAGCGAAAUGCGAUAAGUAAUGUGAAUUGCAGAAUUCAGUGAAUCAUCGAGUCUUUGAACGCACAUUGCGCCCCCUGGUAUUCCGGGGGGCAUGCCUGUCCGAGCGUCAUUGCCGCCCUCAAGCACGGCUUGUGUGUUGGGCCCCCGCCCCCCGGCUUCGGGGGGCGGGCCCGAAAGGCAGCGGCGGCACCGCGUCCGGUCCUCGAGCGUAUGGGGCUUCGUCACCCGCUCUGUAGGCCCGGCCGGCGCCCGCCGGCGACCCCAAUCAAUCUUUCCAGGUUGACCUCGGAUCAGGUAGGGAUACCCGCUGAACUUAAGCAUAUCAAUAAGCGGAGGA